CGCGGCCUAUCAGCUUGUUGGUGGGGUAGUGGCCUACCAAGGCGACGACGGGUAGCCGGCCUGAGAGGGCGACCGGCCACACUGGGACUGAGACACGGCCCAGACUCCUACGGGAGGCAGCAGUGGGGAAUAUUGCGCAAUGGGCGAAAGCCUGACGCAGCGACGCCGCGUGAGGGAUGACGGCCUUCGGGUUGUAAACCUCUUUCAGCAGGGACGAAGCGCGAGUGACGGUACCUGCAGAAGAAGCACCGGCUAACUACGUGCCAGCAGCCGCGGUAAUACGUAGGGUGCGAGCGUUGUCCGGAAUUAUUGGGCGUAAAGAGCUCGUAGGCGGUUUGUCGCGUCGACUGUGAAAACCUACAGCUUAACUGUGGGCUUGCAGUCGAUACGGGCAGACUUGAGUUCGGUAGGGGAGACUGGAAUUCCUGGUGUAGCGGUGAAAUGCGCAGAUAUCAGGAGGAACGCCGGUGGCGAAGGCGGGUCUCUGGGCCGAUACUGACGCUGAGGAGCGAAAGCGUGGGGAGCGAACAGGAUUAGAUACCCUGGUAGUCCACGCCGUAAACGGUGGGAACUAGGUGUGGGGGGCUUCCACGUCCUCCGUGCCGUAGCUAACGCAUUAAGUUCCCCGCC
rnacentral:rRNA from 1 species